rnacentral:rRNA from 1 species
GCAGAACGCGAAGAACCUUACCUGGGUUUGACAUGGCCGCAAAACCGGCAGAGAUGUCGGGUCCUUCGGGGGCGGUCACAGGUGGUGCAUGGCUGUCGUCAGCUCGUGUCGUGAGAUGUUGGGUUAAGUCCCGCAACGAGCGCAACCCUCGUUCGAUGUUGCCAGCGGUUCGGCCGGGGACUCAUCGAAGACUGCCGGGGUCAACUCGGAGGAAGGUGGGGAUGACGUCAAGUCAUCAUGCCCCUUAUGUCCAGGGCUUCACGCAUGCUACAAUGGCCGGUACAAUGGGCUGCGAUACCGUGAGGUGGAGCGAAUCCCAAAAAAGCCGGUCUCAGUUCGGAUCGGGGUCUGCAACUCGACCCCGUGAAGUCGGAGUCGCUAGUAAUCGCAGAUCAGCAACGCUGCGGUGAAUACGUUCCCGGGUCUUGUACACACCG